UCAGGUCGCCUGAAUAGACUAAAGCUAGCACCUUCAUUGCGGUCCAAAUGCUCCGGUAUCCGUAUAUGCACACAGUAGUAUCAGCACAACCGACCCUAUGUGCUGGUAAGUGCCAAGCCUAACCUCGGCAGAGUAGUGACGAGGCUAGGACUAGACUACAAAAAUAAACCUGUGCAAUUAAACCAUAUACAACGGAAAUAGAAAUAGAUAAUACUACUAAAGUUGGGCGGGAGAACAUGCUGCGGGGAGUAAUAGAUAACAACAGAAUAGUAGUAGAGAAAUGUAAGGAACGGCAUAAUUAAUUUACCAGCAAAAGAAACGAAAUAAGAAGAACAUGUACACAUGUAAUACUGUUGCAAGCGUGCAACCCGAUCCCAUUUCAUAUAGUACCGUUGCAGGCGUGCAACCCGCUCCCAUUUCAUAUAGUACCAUUGCAGGUGUGCAACCCGUUCCCAUUUCAUAUAUUACCGUUACAGGCGUGCAACCGCCUCCUAUUUCAUGUAUUACCAUUGCAGACGCGCAACCCGCUCCUAUUUCAUUUAUAAACACCAAUCUUAAAAGAAUCCUGACAAUGAACAAUAGCAUAAUAACAAUAUUCCGGCAAGGGAACAAUAAUAUUAUAAUAACAUCCCCACAAUGGAACAAUAAUAUCACAACAACAUCCCGACAAGGGAACAACCCGACAAGGGAGCAAUAAUAAACUUCUGAUAUGAAGAACGAAAAAACCACAACAGAGUCAUAAAACAUUACAAUCAAGACUCACGGGCAUGCUUGAUACCGACGUAUAGAUACUUGUCACCAUGCCUAUACGUCGUACUCCACAGUUAAAACGUAGCAAAUAAGACACAACUCCUAAUCCCUCAAGCUAAGGUUAGACAAACAGUUACCUCAAACUUCCACGACCAACUCAAGUCUCAAACAUCGCUUUUCCUUUAGAAUUCGCCUCCAAAUUACUUGUAUCUAGCCAAAUUUAAUUUAACAACAUCAAUAAAUGCUAAAUAAUUCAAUUCCAAUGCUAAAUUAUAAGUUUUCUAUCAUUUUCGCCACAAGGUUAAAAAUCGACCCUGGUCCGCUUGGUCAAAACAUAGAGUUCGGAACAAAACUCGAUCAUCCAUUCACACAUGAGCCCGAAUAUGUAAUUAGUUUCUAAGUCAACCCUAAUACGGUGUCUAAAUUAUAUAAAAAGCCUUAACUCUACCCAAAUCCCCAAUUUUCUACCCUUAAGAACAUGAUUUAUGCCUAGAAAUCUAAUGGGUGUUAAUGAAAAUUGAAGAAAACAAGUCUAAGAACACAUACCUAUGGUUUUGUAGUGAAAUCCCUAUUAAAACAUCGCCAAGUUCGAGUUUAAGUGAAAAAGUUAUGAAGUUUUGAAGAAAUCCCAUUUUUCUACUAUUUUAAAAUAAUUUGAUAGGGAAUCUAUGCGUUCGCACUCAAUUGAAUAUGUUCACAUAGGGUGUGGGGGAGGGGGGAGUGAGGGGGUAGGCAUUGCGAUCGCGGGGCAGGGAGUACAAUCACAUAGAGGAAAAAUAGGUUUUCCUUUCCCUAGGCUUAGUUAACUCAGUGCGAUAACAUGAGAAGCCUUGCAUUCGCAUAUUAACUUUAUGCGAUCGCCGACCUUCCUAUGAGAUCGCAUAGCACAAAAAAGGCCCCUUGAGACUACACUAUGCGAUCGCGGACCUUCAUAUUCGAUCACAUGGUACAAAACCUGGACACCAGCAACCAGCAAAAACACCAGAUUUUUUAAGUCCAAAACACUCUGACGCCUAUCCAGAACUCACCCGAACCCUCGGGGCUCCAAACCGAACAUGUAGACUACCUCAAAAACAUCCUACAGACCUACUCGUGUGAUCAAAUCGCCAAAAUAACAUCUUAAACAACAAAAUUACCAUAGAAAUCUAAGAGAAAUCUCAAAACUUUCGAAGUUUCCAACUUCACGAAUACGGAUCCGAAUCACAUCAAACGACCUUCAUUUCUUAGCAAAUUCUGUAGACACAACUCAAACAUCACAUUGAAUAUGUACCGGACUUCGAAACUAAAAUACGGGCCUGAUACCAUAAAUUCAAAAUAUAAUCAAAUUUCUAACAACUCUUAUAUUUUUUGUAAAACAAUUUCUUUCAAAAAAUUUAUUUCUCGGGCUUGGGAACUCGGAAUUCGAUUCCAGGUAUAAUCCUAAGUCCCAUAUUUUCCUACAAACCCUCCAGGACUGUCAAAUAACAGAUCCGGAUCGGUUUACCCAAAAUAUUAACCGAAGUCAACUUAAAUUCAAUUUUAAAGGCUGAAUUAAUAUUUUCAUCACAUUUUCACAUAAAAGCGUUUCGGAUAUACACUCGGACCGUGCAUGUAAAUCGAGGUGAGGAAAACAGAGUCUUAUAAGGCCUCGAAACACAAAUUUUAUUCGUAAAUCAAGUGAUUACCUUUUGGGUCAUUGUGACACUCCUUUUUUACUUCUACUAACCCUCUUAAAUAAAUAUAAUAUUUGUACAACUCAAAAGGUAUUUUUAUUUAAAAAUGAUAAAAUUGUGUUUUAAAGGAAAUAAUUCAGAGUCGCUACUAACAUUGGCUUCGGUGUGUCAGGUCACCAUUUUUUAGAAAUGAUAUUUCCUUUAAAAACACUUAGGACUCCAAAACCAAGUCUGCACCAGAGUACUAGGUAAGCAUGUUCAUUUGACUAUGGGAGAAUGUGUUAGGCAUUCCCUGAGUCCCGUGAAAGUCACGGUUUGCGUACUUAAACAAGUUGGCUUUAGAAUAUUCGAAUUGAGGUAAUAAACACACAAAAAAGUGAAUACACAAGAGGCUCGAGGUCAUUCCCGCCUAAUAAUAAAGAAAACCAAAAAUGAAAAUAAAAAUAAAGAUACUACGAGUUCUACUUCCGGCCUCCAAAUAUAAAUAUUGCGGAUCAUACCCCGGAUAAAAUAUAUACAAAUCUUUCGUUGCAUUAUCGGAUAAAUUUAACUAAAAGAAAUAACCUCUCGCCUCAAAAAUAAAAUAAAGAAAGCCUAAAAUUUGCCUACGCGGGUGCGAUUAGCCUAGACGUGAUCCCAGUGGAUGUAAAACAACAAAAUCAAAUUAAUUUAAAAAAAGUUAUGUUUUAACUUUUCUUUCAAGUUAACUUUCCAACCCCAUCUGACCUAAUGAAUAAGACAACAUAAUUAAUCAAAGGUAUUCAUAAAUUCAAAUUUUUCCAGAUGAGCCUACAACCUGAAACUAACUUUUUUUAUGUGUUUAAACAAAAGAGGCAGUGAUCUAAAAUAUAGGAACUAUUUCGCUAAAAAACAUACACCCAUGUUAACAUCAACCACAAGAUGAUUUCAUAAAGUCAUCAAAUCAGCAACAAAGUAGGCAAAUAUAAUUUAUAAAGAAAUAGAAUGAGAAGCAAGAAAUAAGGGAACAGACUUAAGACCUUUUGUAUGACAAAAUCUCCUCCUGAUUUUGAUUAAGCAAGACCAUUUUGAAGAGCUUUAUACAGCAAGGGUAUCGAUCAAAAUUUAAUCAGGAGAUAAAGUCUAAUAAUAGCACAUCAGUUGUAUUUCGAAUUCUGGACCGGAACCUCGAGCUAACCUUCGACGACCGGAACCUCACUAAUGAAACCUCGAUAAAUAGUACUGCUUCAAUGGAGGUUUUGGGCUAAAAAUGGUGGUAUUUCAACAGGUUUUGUUAUAGUUUUGAGCAGCUCUCGUUGCUACAUUUUUUGGAGUAGGGCUAGCGGCUGCUUAGUGUGGAGAAGAAGGAGAUGGCGUGAGGGAGAUGGAGUUUUCCCUGGUUUGGUGAGAGGUCCAGAAGCAACAACGGCUAUGGAGGAUCAGAUUAGGGGUGUUCUGGUUGGCUUCAGGAAGAAGAGGAGUGUCCCUCUCUUGGUGAAGAUGAAGCAGCGAUUGUUGUGUUAAACAUUAGCUGCUGGGGGUCCGUUCUUCAUUGGUGUUGGAAGGCUGGUUUUUUAGACUGAAGGGGGAGGGGUCGGCGGCUUUUUUGUGUGUGGUGCUUUUAGGGAUUUAGGUCUAAUGUGUAUAUGAAGAAGAAAGGUUAGGCGUAAG
rnacentral:lncRNA from 1 species